rnacentral:rRNA from 1 species
CUCUCCCUCUUUCUUCAGGCCUAACACAUGCAAGUCGAACGAACCUUUCGGGGUUAGUGGCGGACGGGUGAGUAACACGUGGGAACGUGCCUUUAGGUUCGGAAUAACUCAGGGAAACUUGUGCUAAUACCGAAUGUGCCCUUCGGGGGAAAGAUUAAUCGCCUUUAGAGCGGCCCGCGUCUGAUUAGCUAGUUGGUUGAGGUAAUGGCUCACCAAGGCGACGAUCAGUAGCUGGUCUGAGAGGAUGAUCAGCCACAUUGGGACUGAGACACGGCCCAAACUCCUACGGGAGGCAGCAGUGGGGAAUCUUGCGCAAUGGGCGAAAGCCUGACGCAGCCAUGCCGCGUGAAUGAUGAAGGUCUUAGGAUUGUAAAAUUCUUUCACCGGGGACGAUAAUGACGGUACCCGGAGAAGAAGCCCCGGCUAACUUCGUG